CACGUAGGGUGCGAGCGUUGUCCGGAAUUAUUGGGCGUAAAGAGCUCGUAGGCGGUGUGUCGCGUCGGCCGUGAAAACCUGCAGCUUAACUGUGGGCGUGCGGUCGAUACGGGCAUCACUGGAGUUCGGCAGGGGAGACUGGAAUUCCUGGUGUAGCGGUGAAAUGCGCAGAUAUCAGGAGGAACACCGGUGGCGAAGGCGGUUCUCUGGGCCUGACCUGACGCUGAGGAGCGAAAGCGUGGGGAGCGAACAGG
rnacentral:rRNA from 1 species